rnacentral:rRNA from 1 species
GAUGAACGCUGGCGGCGUGCCUAAUACAUGCAAGUCGAGCGAACAGACGAGGAGCUUGCUCCUCUGACGUUAGCGGCGGACGGGUGAGUAACACGUGGAUAACCUGCCUAUAAGACUGGGAUAACUUCGGGAAACCGGAGCUAAUACCGGAUAAUAUAUUGAACCGCAUGGUUCAAUAGUGAAAGACGGUUUUGCUGUCACUUAUAGAUGGAUCCGCGCCGCAUUAGCUAGUUGGUAAGGUAACGGCUUACCAAGGCAACGAUGCGUAGCCGACCUGAGAGGGGGAUCGGCCACACUGGAACUGAGACACGGUCCAGACUCCUACGGGAGGCAGCAGUAGGGAAUCUUCCGCAAUGGGCGAAAGCCUGACGGAGCAACGCCGCGUGAGUGAUGAAGGUCUUCGGAUCGUAAAACUCUGUUAUUAGGGAAGAACAAAUGUGUAAGUAACUAUGCACGUCUUGACGGUACCUAAUCAGAAAGCCACGGCUAACUACGU